rnacentral:rRNA from 1 species
AGGCGACGAUCCCUAGCUGGUCUGAGAGGAUGACCAGCCACACUGGAACUGAGACACGGUCCAGACUCCUACGGGAGGCAGCAGUGGGGAAUAUUGCACAAUGGGCGCAAGCCUGAUGCAGCCAUGCCGCGUGUAUGAAGAAGGCCUUCGGGUUGUAAAGUACUUUCAGCGGGGAGGAAGGGAGUAAAGUUAAUACCUUUGCUCAUUGACGUUACCCGCAGAAGAAGCACCGGCUAACUCCGUGCCAGCAGCCGCGGUAAUACGGAGGGUGCAAGCGUUAAUCGGAAUUACUGGGCGUAAAGCGCACGCAGGCGGUUUGUUAAGUCAGAUGUGAAAUCCCCGGGCUCAACCUGGGAACUGCAUCUGAUACUGGCAAGCUUGAGUCUCGUAGAGGGGGGUAGAAUUCCAGGUGUAGCGGUGAAAUGCGUAGAGAUCUGGAGGAAUACCGGUGGCGAAGGCGGCCCCCUGACGAAGACUACGUCAG